CGAGUCGGCCGGGCGAUCGCGGUGGGUACGGCGGUUGCCGUGCUCUCCGAGGAAAGUCCGGACUCCACCGAGCAGGGUGGUGGGUAACACCCACCCGGGGUGACCCGCGGGAAAGUGCCACAGAAAGCAAACCGCCCCGAGCCGUACGCGGCACGGGGUAAGGGUGAAACGGCGGUGUAAGAGACCACCAGCAUCCCGGGUGACCGGGAUGGCUAGGCAAACCCCACCCGGAGCAAGAUCAAGAAGGAUGCCCCCGGGCAUCCGCGGGAGCGUUCGAGGGCUGCUCGUCCGAGGCUCCCGGGUAGAUCGCACCAGGCGGUCGGCAACGGCCGUCGCAGAUGGAUGAUCGUCACUCGGGCUCCGGCCCGAGACAGAAUCCGGCUUACAGGCCGGCUCGUCCC
rnacentral:RNase_P_RNA from 2 species